ensembl:snRNA U6 U6 spliceosomal RNA
UUGCUUUUGUAGCAUAUAUACAAAAACUGGAAUAGUAUCAAGAAUAUCAGUAUAGCUCCUGCACAAGGACGACAUGCAAAUUUAUGAAGCAUUACCUACACAC